rnacentral:antisense_RNA from 1 species
AUCGUCAUCAAAAAUGUCUGUUUCGUUUAUUUUUGCUGUUUCUGGUAAUUCUCCGUGAG